rnacentral:rRNA from 1 species
AUGACAACAACACGUCCCUUCGAGCCGCUUCACAUGGACUUAUUUGGCCCUACUCACUACUCUACCCUUACUACCACUGCAUGUCUCUAUGUUUUCGUCAUUGUUGAUGAUUACUCAAGAUAUACAUGGGUGCACAUAAUUCUCUACAAGACUGAAGUGCAGGAUGUCUUCACACGAUUCGCCAAUCAUGCCAUGACCAACUAUGGCAUCAAGAUCAAGCACAUCAGAAGUGAUAACGACACAGAAUUCAAGAACAUCGACCUCGACACUUAUCUUGAUACAUUGGGAAUCACACAUGAGUUCUCUGCUCCAUAUACACCUCAGCAAAAUGGCAUCAUGGAGCGCAAGAACAGAACCCUCAUUGAGAUGGCACGAACGAUGCUUGAUGAGUACAAGACUCCAAGGAAGUUCUGGCCUGAAGCCAUUCACUGGUGUGCGUCGGUCCUAAACAAAUGGUUUAAAACCCCUUUCCGUGACGGCAUUUGA